AGAGUUAUAUUUAAUUAUAAUAUUUGAUUUGCAAUCAAAAGGUGUUUCUGAAAGAACUAACUUUU
rnacentral:tRNA from 1 species